AGUGAACGCUGGCGGUAGGCCUAACACAUGCAAGUCGAACGGCAGCACAGUAAGAGCUUGCUCUUACGGGUGGCGAGUGGCGGACGGGUGAGGAAUACAUCGGAAUCUACUUUUUCGUGGGGGAUAACGUAGGGAAACUUACGCUAAUACCGCAUACGACCUACGGGUGAAAGCAGGGGAUCUUCGGACCUUGCGCGAUUGAAUGAGCAGAUGUCGGAUUAGCUAGUUGGCGGGGUAAAGGCCCACCAAGGCGACGAUACGUAGCUGGUCUGAGAGGAUGAUCAGCCACACUGGAACUGAGACACGGUCCAGACUCCUACGGGAGGCAGCAGUGGGGAAUAUUGGACAAUGGGCGCAAGCCUGAUCCAGCCAUACCGCGUGAGUGAAGAAGGCCUUCGGGUUGUAAAGCCCUUUUGUUGGGAAAGAAAAGCAGCAGGUUAAUACCCCGCUGUCCUGACGGUACCCAAAGAAUAAGCACCGGCUAACUUCGUG
rnacentral:rRNA from 1 species